AUGCCUCUCUCUCCUUCCCUUCGAGAAGAAUGUCAUCAGAGGAUAAGACUGUGGAGCCCUCUGACCAGGGACCCUCGCUGCCCUCCGGCAGUGCAGGGGCCACGUCCACAGGAAGCCCUGCCCAGACAGACAAGCGCCCCAGGGGCAGGCCGCGCAAGGAUGCUGCUACCACCACCAUUGCACCCCAGGCGCCACCCACAUCCAAGACCAGGAAGAAGGGGCGUGCAAGAGGGAGAGCGGUUGUGGUGGAGGAGGAGGAGGAGGAGGAGGAAGACGAAGACGGCAGCAUGGAUGGGGUGGAGGCAGCCACCUCAGAGAGCCCCCCUCAUGAUGCAACAGCCCAGCAGCAGGUGGACAGUGUGGAGGUGGUUACCACUGAGGGUCCGGGGGAGACCGAGGGGAAGCCCCACUCUCCCCACGUCCAGAGUCCUCAGACUGGGGAUGCAGCCGAACCCUCCGCCGCUGGCCCUGCUACUACCCGAGGAGCCAAAAGCAGGUCAGUCAGAGAGGCCUACGUCAAGUCUUCAUAUGUUUGUAUGUGGUCUGUCUGUAUAUUUGUGUAUAUUUGUUAAUGAGAUAUGUAUAGGUCCGUCUGUCAGUGUACAUGCGUACAGCAUAUGGGCUUCUCUGCUAUUCUCAUUAAUGCACAAACACACACAUGCACAGUCCACCCCCCCCAGGUGUCACUCUGUUAAAGGUUGUAAUCAAUCUCCCAGACUGACUGCACUGUCGAUGUUGCUGAUGGAGGGGCAGUCAGGCCAGACAGGCAGAAUCUCUCCAGGGAUCGUAUUAAUCUUAUUAACAAGCCUAUCUCCUCUAGAAACCAACCUGAUAAAUGUUUGCUGCCUGCGCUGGUCUGCUCUGCCUGGCUCGCUUUACUUUCCCUCACACACGGACUCCCAACCUCUCGGGCCCAUCUCUCUAUGA
rnacentral:lncRNA from 1 species